CAUUGGCAGAGAUGAAACAGACUGACAGAGUUGAGGCAUCUCGAGUGUGAGACCUGUAACCUCACUCCUCUCAGCUGCGGUCUGUUGCUGCAUUGCCUGAGACUUCUGGCUGUCUGCUGAGGAGAGCAUGUGGCCAACAGCUAGGGCAAGAUGAAGCUUUCUCUGGUGGCCGUGGUUCUGCUG
rnacentral:other from 1 species